rnacentral:rRNA from 1 species
CAGUCGCCGCGGGAAUACGGAGGGUGCAAGCGUUAAUCGGAAUUACUGGGCGUAAAGCGCACGCAGGCGGUCUGACAAGUCAGAUGUGAAAUCCCCGGGCUUAACCUGGGAACUGCAUUUGAAACUGGCAAGCUAGAGUCUCGUAGAGGGGGGUAGAAUUCCAGGUGUAGCGGUGAAAUGCGUAGAGAUCUGGAGGAAUACCGGUGGCGAAGGCGGCCCCCUGGACGAAGACUGACGCUCAGGUGCGAAAGCGUGGGGAGCAAACAGGAUUAGAGACCCGUGUAGUCCCUGUCUCUUAUAC